rnacentral:tRNA from 1 species
GCCUAGCUGGCUCAGUCGGUAAAGCAUGUGACUCUUGGUCCCGGGGUCGUGAGUUCGAGCCCCACGCUGGGCA